GUUGGUGAGAACUCUGAGGCCUCCUAACUCAUCACCCGCAGAAGCUGAGUUGAGAUUUCACUCUGGGGGAGCCAGGUGGGGCUGUGUGACCCCCCCCCCCCAUCAGCCCUACAGAGGACGGGAAGAACUUCAGGCAUGGGGUGGAUAGGAUGGAUGGCUGGGACAUGAUGGCCUGCUGAUUUCUUGUUCAAAGACGACUUGUGGGAGCCUAGGCUGGAUAGGAUUCUAGCGUGUUCCUUUCUGGAUUGCCAAGGGAAGAGUUAUUAAGGAACCGGCACUCGCCAUAGGAACUAUGGAUGUAUCAAUGAGGAGACAACUUUAACUCGUGUGCUGGGUAUAAAUAUGCAAGUGCUGACAUGGGCUGCGUUUUUCAAUUUUAUGGCCAAGUGACGUCUACAGCCGACUGAUAAAUGGAAGCUUUGAGGUAGGAGAGUUGGGCUAAGAUUUCUCUCUCUCUUUCUCUCCAAUUACUCAAAGGAGGAGAAAAGUUUUAGACAGAGAUAAAUGGAAGAUAUCCACUGCCUGCAGAUAUAUGACUCCCCAGAUCUCCUGUCUGGGUAAAUCAGAGCUUCACAUGGCUACAGAUAAUGAGAUAAUUAAAAAGUAGUAAAUAUAAGUGUGGAUUGCUGUCUACCAUUAAGCCCAGAAAGGGCUUCUGAUCAUGAAACACUGGCUCUGUAUUUUGAAACAUCAUAUCAAUUAUAAGAGACACUUUUACAGAUCGCUCUAAGAGAUAUUUACAUAAAACUAUAUUUCUAUACACUACAGAAAAUACCCCAAGUAUAGAUUUAAUCAAAACUGUAAAUAAGACUAAAGGUAGGCUGUAAGGGUGAAAUAUGCAGCUGUAAAAAUCUUAGCAAAAAUUUAAAUCAGUUUCAUUCUGAAUUAUAUUGGCCUUCAUAUCUCUUACAUCUCCCUCAGCCCCCAGCCUCCAUUUCCACUACUUCACCUUAAUCCUCUUACACUGGAGAUGAGACAUUUGGGGGGAUAAAUGUCACGGUGGCUUUAUGCUUGCUUCUGUGUUUGUGGAGGAGUGGGUUUAAAAGUGGAGGGUGUAUUUUUUUACUCCACAGUGCACUAUCCUGGUCCUUAGUCACUUAUGAGGUCCUAUGAGUGAUGGGACGGAUACAGGUUUGGGUGUGAGCUGACUAUGGGCUGACUCCUAUUUGAGACCAGCUUCUCAUGCCAGCUUAUGCUCUGUGGGAACAGGACUGGCAGACAGUGAAAGAUUUCACCCUUUGAGCUGUGCUACGGAACAUAGAGUCUGUUUAGCACACUGCAAGGGGUUGCUGGUUAGCAGCACAGAGUAACUAACAGUAGUCUGAGGCAGUGGGCCGUGGGGGUCUUCAUUUGGAGACUCCUUGGGUGUCCUAGCAUGUCACUCCCAUCACAUGAAUGGAAGUGGUCCAGACUGGUUGGCGUUUCUGACCUGGGAUGUUAGCCCAAAUUAUAGUUUCAGUCUCUGCCAUGCAGAUGAAGGCUAUGCAAAUGAGGGCAUUUCUGAUUGGUCCACGUUCUUACCUCGGGCAGAAGCUUGGAUUACAGUGCUCCAACACGGAAGUAUUAUUGGUCCAUUGUGCUCCUGGGUCCCUGAUUGGUGGGAGAUGAGGACAGUCUGAUUGGGAGUCUUGCCGUCUGAAUGUGAAGUGUCCCCCAUAGGUUGGAACACUUGGUUCUAAGAUGGUUGUGCUUUUUAGGAAGGGACUGUGAACCUUUAAGAGGUGGAAACUGGGAUAACAUUUGAAAUGUAAAUAAAUAAAAUAAUCAAUAAUAAUAAAAAAAGAGGUGGCGCCCCAUUGGAGAAAAUGGAUCACCGGAGGUGGACUUUGAGCUGUAUAGCCAGAACCCACUUUCUGUUCGCUAUUUGGAGAGCAAAGAUGGAGAGUGACCAGCCAGCCUCCCACUCCUGCCUUCUGUGCCUGUCAAUAUGUUAUCCCUCCGUGACCCUCCAGCUGUCAGCCAAAGUAAAUGUUUUCUUCCCUAAGUUACCUCUUACCAGGUAUUUGGUUAAAUCAACAUUUUUUUUUUCAUUUUUUUUCCAACAUGGCAACUCAUAUAGAACAGAAAUAUAUGGAAUCAGGGCCAUCCAGGAUUAUGCUAGCAAAAGGAAGCCCAAGUGUCUUGUCUUAAUCAACCAGUCCUAGGUGUUACUGCCCAGCUUUGCUGAGACUGGAGUUGUCUGUGGAGCUACAUGACCUCUCGCCUACACAUCUUUUUAUUGAGUGAAUGAAUGAAUAAAAAUGGAAACCAGGAUGAGAGACAUGUUUUUAAAAUGAAUCAGAUGUUAUGACGGGACGUGGCUAUCACCCCUGGUGUUUUACAAACGCAGCUGGCAGCAUUUACUACAAAAGUGGGUUUGAGACAUUCAUUCUAGGUCUUUGAAGAUGGGGUCCAUAUGCUUGUUCACACGGAUGUGUGUAAAAAAAAAUCUGUCUGCCACUUAUAUACUGAAUGCCUUUGAGCAAAUCCUGGAACAUUUCUUUGUAAGCUUUUGUUUUCCUUAGCUCCACUUAAGAUCUUCAUCUUCAUCAUCAUCAUGUCUCAGAGGCACUGGAUGACUCUCAGCUGGAGUUAAGGUCGUUGUGAGCUUUCCUCCAUGGCUGCUGGGAACUGAACAGGACUCUUCUGGAAGAAUAGUAUGAUGCCUCACAACCACUGAGCCAUCUCUCUGACCCCUAUCUUCUUCUCUCUUUUUGUAGGAGGGAAAUUGCCACAGUCCAGCCUGGCAUGAAAGGAUCCCGAGGAAAGGUAGCAAUGGGGUAUGGAGUCAGCGGUGAAACCAAAGCUUAUUUAUCUUUGGCAGUUCUUCUCUCUUUGCUAUUCUAAGGCCAAAUGCCUUUGGCUUCUGGAAGUCUGCCCAACAGGGUGGGCCAAUGCCCAGGAAUCAUUAGGCAAUGGUGACAGAAAAGGCGUAUCAGCUUUUAAGAAGCAAUCCUGAGAUGAAGUCUCUUGUGAUCUUGCCUCUCAGAGCUCACUCAUCAUAAGCUAUGCAAAAACAGUAAGUGGGUCACCUCCAGGAAAGUCACCCGCUAGCCCUCACCUCUCCUGGAUGGCUCUGGUUAAAUAUUUUCUAUAACAAAAUAAAAUCUAAUAAG
ensembl:processed_transcript